UAAAUGGAAGGAACUGCUGGUUUUCCCUUUUCCUUUAGGUCAGGCAGGAACAAAGUCAGGAAGAUUCAGCCUAAAUCUUCCACUGUGAUCUGAUCAGACUCUUAUUCAUUUCCUGGAUUUCUUGAAGGAGUUCACUCUGGACAGAGAUUGUCCCCCUGACUCUUGAGCCGGAAUCACAAGUACAAAUACCUGAUGUCACAAGGUCAUUGAAUCAACUACUGUCUAGAACUCUUAAUGCCAAGCAUCAGAUGCUUAUGUGGUACUUGUAAAACAGGCCAGUUCUCAGGCAAGGAAAAGGUACUCAGCCUUCUCUGACAGAUUUCAAAUACAGCAAACAGCUGCGUCGGGGUCCUCAGCAUGAACUGAGCCGAGUGUUUUCACUUCUGCGUGGUUUUCCCUGACUUUGAAUUCGUAGGGGAGUUUGGUGAAGACAGGAGGCUCGUCCACGUCGGUGACCUGGAUGGUGACGGUCGCGAUGCUCCGCGGGUUGCCGGGUUUGAAAUGCCGAAGGUUCACGGUGGGGUCUGUGGCCUCGAUGCUAAAUCUGUAUUCUGACACUGUUUCAAAGUCCAGGGGCUAAAAACAAAAAGACAGUUAGAUAUCCUUUCACUGGUGAUGUCUAAGCAAACUUUGAUUUGCUCUCUGUGCAGAUUUAAGAUCUGUGCUCUACUUCAUGUUUGGCAAUGUUACCAAAUUUCAUCUUGGCUGGACCCAUGGGAGAGCAUUUCCCAGCUGAACUUCUCUACCGUAGCAUGGCUUAAGGUACCUCUGGUGUGGAACAGAUUCAUUCAGUAGUUUAAGGCAAAAUAAUUUUCUUUUGGGUUAAAUACUUGUCUUUUUAUAAUGUGCAACUACUAAAACUUGGUGAGCUCUUGUCCCCCAAAGUCUGGGGAAGAGAUUCUCCUCUUGGCUGUGCUUUGUGUUCUGAAGGCACUCAAGGCAGAUCUGCACUGGCUGACAGCUGGGGCAUUCAGUGAUAAAUGACAUCCUCUUCCUUGUUUUUCCCCUUGCCUGAGACUACAAAAGGAAUCACACAAUGGGAGGAAGGCCAGGAGCUUGGGCAGUAAGAAAUACUCCUUUCAAAGUUUCCUUUGUUCUACCACCUGAGAUUCUAAAAACACUGAGAUACACAGCAGUUAUGGUGACUCUUGUUUUCCCCUUUGGGUAGACAUUGCAAGGGGAAAUGAUGGGACUUCUCCAGCAGCUGACAUUUUAUCUCACAUGGCUUUGUAUUUAAAAUUAUGACAUAUGCAUGGCCAAAUUUACAUUGAAAACAGGGUGAACUUUGCCCACUGUGUGCUGGAGGAAGAGCUGGUUCCAAAUCCCUCAGGGAGGGUGUGUGGGGUCUGUGACUGCUCCUCCUCUGGGCAGGUGCUGCAUUCCCCAGUCCUGGGAGGUUGGAGAAGAGCUGCACCCUGUGAAGGACAGCUGCUCAUACCCAGUGUGUCCACAGCCAAGGAUUUUACCGCCAGUCUUGAAAUCCUUGGUACUGUUUUUCCUGAAAGUUUUCUCUUCUUAAUGACAUUUCUAGUCUUAGCAGUUACAGAGAGGCAUUUGGAAGGGAAAAACACAUUCCUGUCAAUCUGAGGAUUACAGGAGCUGAUUUAUAGUCUUCUCUCCUCUUUUUUUUUAACAGCAAGUCAAUGAAAUCGAUGAAGUCUUGGUUUGGCAAUGCUCUGCAGCAGUCCCUUGGUACAAAUAAUGUGCAUUUGAGAAUUUUAAAAACCAAAGGACAUACCCUAAUAAAGGCUUUGGAGAGUCUUAAAGACAUAAGAAAUUAGUGGGGAAGCUCUUAAAAAAAAGCUCUUUCCUUACCCUGAGGAAAGUAAGGGAGCUGUGGCUCGGAUUGGAGCAAAUGCCAAACUGCAAAGAUACUUUUACAAAGGAGGUCAGGUGGACUUGUUCACCUUUUCUGCUUUGGUUUCAGGUGGGCUUCAGAAGGGAAGGAUUCUUUGACUUGGCCAGUUGGUUGAACUCUUAAAUCACUGCCUCUUUGAAGCAUCCAACCACUUGAAGUUGGAGAGGAACCAAAGCACCUAACCUGAAUAUCUGACACAGCCCCCACUGCCCUCUGCAGUAAUUCUGGAGUUUUUCAGGUGUGCAUUGCCCAGGAAAAGUGGCUCUGGCUGAAACACAGAAGAGCUUCUUAAGAUGCAAAGUUAUUUUGGCCAUUUUUAAGGAAAGCUGAAUUGUGCAGGACCAUGAGCUGAACUCGUGCUUGUGCCAGCCCUGGCUCCAGGGGGGUUCAGGGGCUGUGUGGCACUCACGGUGUUUGAACACUGGGAAGUUGUCGUUGAUGUCGGACAAAGCGAUGAUCACCGUGGCUGUGCUGGAAUCCCCAGAGAAACCCGGAGCAUCUUUGGCUUGAACAACAAUCUCAUACGUUGACUUGGUCUCUCUGUCUAAAUUAGGCUCUUUUGUGUAAAUCACACCUGUAAAAAAUAAUAUUUGAUACAAUAAGAUUUUGCAGCAUGUCCAACAUCUCUUCAAUUUUGAUGGCAAAUUUUAAUAUUUUUAUUUAAUCUCCACACAUUCAGCUUUAAGUACCAAUUUUACAGUGGUGUUUUUCAAGAAAUGUUAGAAAUUCUUCUGCAUGAUGGAAUAUUUAGGAAAGCUUGUGCAGAAUAUUCUUUUUAAUGGAUCUUUCACCUCUUUCCCUGUGUUCUUUGCUCUAGUAAACCAGUGUGUUUACAAGAGAUACUGACAUUGGUUUUAAAACUGGGCAAAAUUUAAGCUAGGAAGUUUAGGAAAGCAAAUUAUUAUUGGUUACUGAAUGCUGCUUCAGAAUUUGUGUAUUCCCUUUUCCUGUUUGGUCACUGGAACAGUGUCUAUGCUAAAAUGAAAACAUGAACUCAGCUCCUGGUUAAUGUUUCCAUAAGUGGGAAAAAGAAUGACCUUUUAUUUUCUCAUUGUGUUCAUGGCAGCUGAAAUCCUGGUUUUAUUAGUUCAUUUCCAGAUGCAGACAGUAGCAUUGUAGAGAGUGAAUUAAAAACUUUUCUAAAUCGUGUUUAAAA